UUUUAAGAUGUGCCUGUCUCUCCACGCA
rnacentral:piRNA from 1 species